rnacentral:rRNA from 1 species
UACGUAGGGUGCGAGCGUUGAUCGGAAUUACUGGGCGUAAAGUGUGCGCAGGCGGCCGCGCAAGUCGAGUGUGAAAGCCCCGGGCUUAACUUGGGAAUUGCGCUCGAAACUACGUGGCUGGAGUGUGGCAGAGGAAGGUGGAAUUCCAGGUGUAGCGGUGAAAUGCGUAGAGAUCUGGAGGAACACCGAUGGCGAAGGCAGCCUUCUGGGCCAACACUGACGCUCAUGCACGAAAGCGUGGGGAGCAAACAGG